rnacentral:rRNA from 1 species
UAGGGAAUCUUCCACAAUGGACGCAAGUCUGAUGGAGCAACGCCGCGUGAGUGAAGAAGGGUUUCGGCUCGUAAAACACUGUUGUAAGAGAAGAAUGACAUUGAGAGUAACUGUUCAAUGUGUGACGGUAUCUUACCAGAAAGGAACGGCUAAAUACGUGCCUG